GCUCCAAUAGCGUAUAUUCAAGUUGUUGCAGUUAAAAAGCUCGUAGUUGAAACUGCUUAGUGCCAGCCUGGUGCACCUAACCGUGUUACUAGAGCUGGUGCUUUGUUAAGAGUGACAGGGCCAUGAUCUUUACUGAUUGUGGCUGCUGGCUAGCUCAGUGUUUACUGUGAAAAAAUUAGAGUGUUUAAAGCAGGCCAGAG
rnacentral:rRNA from 1 species